ensembl:lincRNA
UGCCCUCCCACCCCACCUUCAGACCUGCACUAGAACACCCCAUGGAUUUAGGAGCCACUGGUAAGGUUAUGACUUCCUCCAUUGGAUGAAAUAAAUGGACUCAGGAAGGAAUAAAACCCAAGGUCUCCUCUUCACCAGCAUCAUUCAGAACCACCUCACUCCUCAGGGGCCACAGAAGUGCUGAAUAAAAUGAAAAGACACACGAUCCAGAUGGUGACCCUGUAAAGCCACCACCUGCUUGCAAGCCUGUCUCUGUGCUUCUGCUGAGAAACAGAACGCCAUUUCCUUUAGUGCCUGUCUUGUAAAUAAUCACCGCUCCCCAACCAGCCAUUCCCCAAAUGACAAGAACCAUCCUGUGGCUUUCUCCGCUCCCCAGCCUGGCCUGGCCUCAUUGUGCCUUGGAACUCUGUCCUCCUGCCUCACUCAAAAGGUACAUGAUUUGUAUCUUACUCCCACAACAGCGUGAUCCAAUGUCACCACAGUCGGGGACUUUUAAUGGGGUAUUUGCACAGUGAUUUACAACUUGAGGGCAACUGAUUCUCCUGAGAAAGAAACCCCCAUCUGGACGUUCUACAUUGAGUGACAUGAAGGUUGUGUCUGGGACUGUAGAGAUGAAAAUAUCAUCGUAACACUCUCCCUGGCUCUGCAAGAAAAAUAUUUUGCUAGGCACAAUAAUGAAAGCGCUGUUUAUUUGAAACCAGUCUACAGAAAACCUGCAGAAGAUUUAAUUUAGGUUAUACCAUAGAAUGUAAAUAUUAUCAACCUUAGCAACAUUAAAAUUACAGUAUGUCUGUUAGAAACUGGAAGGAUGGGAAGAUCAUUGGUAUAGGGAACUGUUCCAUCCAUUAG